rnacentral:sRNA from 1 species
AUGUGAACGUUACCAAACUGUUGCCUCGGCGGGAUCUCUGCCCCGGGUGCGUCGCAGCCCCGGACCAAGGCGCCCGCCGGAGGACCAACCAAAACUCUUAUUGUAUACCCCCUCGCGGGUUUUUUUAUAAUCUGAGCCUUCUCGGCGCCUCUCGUAGGCGUUUCGAAAAUGAAUCAAAACUUUCAACAACGGAUCUCUUGGUUCUGGCAUCGAUGAAGAACGCAGCGAAAUGCGAUAAGUAAUGUGAAUUGCAGAAUUCAGUGAAUCAUCGAAUCUUUGAACGCACAUUGCGCCCGCCAGUAUUCUGGCGGGCAUGCCUGUCCGAGCGUCAUUUCAACCCUCGAACCCCUCCGGGGGGUCGGCGUUGGGGAUCGGCCCUGCCUUGGCGGUGGCCGUCUCCGAAAUACAGUGGCGGUCUCGCCGCAGCCUCUCCUGCGCAGUAGUUUGCACACUCGCAUCGGGAGCGCGGCGCGUCCACAGCCGUUAAACACCCAACUUCUGAAAUGUUGACCUCGGAUCAGGUAGGAAUACCCGCUGAACUUAAGCAUAUCAAUAAGCGGAGGAAAAGAAACCAACAGGGAUUGCCCCAGUAACGGCGAGUGAAGCGGCAACAGCUCAAAUUUGAAAUCUGGUCCCUAGGGCCCGAGUUGUAAUUUGUAGAGGAUGCUUUUGGUGAGGUGCCGCCCGAGUUCCCUGGAACGGGACGCCACAGAGGGUGAGAGCCCCGUCUGGCUGGCCGCCGAGCCUCUGUAAAGCUCCUUCGACGAGUCGAGUAGUUUGGGAAUGCUGCUCAAAAUGGGAGGUAUAUGUCUUCUAAAGCUAAAUAUUGGCCAGAGACCGAUAGCGCACAAGUAGAGUGAUCGAAAGAUGAAAAGCACCUUGAAAAGAGGGUUAAAUAGUACGUGAAAUUGUUGAAAGGGAAGCGCUUGUGACCAGACUUGGGCGCGGCGGAUCAUCCGGGGUUCUCUCCGGUGCACUUCGCCGCGUCUAGGCCAGCAUCAGUUCGUCCCGGGGGGAAAAAGGUUUCGGGAACGUGGUCCCUCCCGGGAAUGGUUAUAGCCCGUUGCUAAUACCCUGGCGGGGACUGAGGACCGCCAUCU